rnacentral:sRNA from 1 species
UGAAAGUGAAGAAAAAUAGUUAAAUUGGUUGUUAAAAAGAAAAAAGACAACUUGUAGCAUAUAAAUGUUUGGUAAAAUGUAUUUCUAAUCCUUGGGUCUUUAACUUUACAAUCUUAGCAUCAUCUGUGUGUGUGUGUGUGUGUGUGUGUGAUACUGGGGAUGUAAACUAGGGAUGCUCUACCACUGAGCUACAUCCACAGCCCUUUUUAA